CACCGCUGACACCAGUGCCCUCUGGUGUCCCUGCCCAUCUGCACUGCACAGCCGUGAUGCCAGAUGAUGAGAACAUGGAGGAGGAAGAGGUGAAGGCUCCUGCUCCUGAGAUGGCUGAGCUACCUGGCAUGCAAGGGGACUCCAGGGAUACCCUCUCUCAAGUGGCUGGGGACACAGCAGGGUGGCAAUGGCAGGCCCUUACUGGCCCCAGGGAUCUCAGGGAAGUGCUCCCAAAAGUGCCCUCCCCAAAGCUCCUGUGACAGAGAAACCUUGUAAAUGUACUGAAUAUGGGAAGGAC